UGGGGAAUAUUGCACAAUGGGCGCAAGCCUGAUGCAGCCAUGCCGCGUGUAUGAAGAAGGCCUUCGGGUUGUAAAGUACUUUCAGCGGGGAGGAAGGGAGUAAAGUUAAUACCUUUGCUCAUUGACGUUACCCGCAGAAGAAGCACCGGCUAACUCCGUGCCAGCAGCCGCGGUAAUACGGAGGGGGCAAGCGUUAAUCGGAAUUACUGGGCGUAAAGCGCACGCAGGCGGUUUGUUAAGUCAGAUGUGAAAUCCCCGGGCUCAACCUGGGAACUGCAUCUGAUACUGGCAAGCUUGAGUCUCGUAGAGGGGGGUAGAAUUCCAGGUGUAGCGGUGAAAUGCGUAGAGAUCUGGAGGAAUACCGGUGGCGAAGGCGGCCCCCUGGACGAAGACUGACGCUCAGUUGCGAAAGCGUGGGGAGCAAACA
rnacentral:rRNA from 1 species